GACGAACGCUGGCGGCGUGCUUAACACAUGCAAGUCGAACGGUGAAGCGAGUGCUUGCACUCGUGGAUCAGUGGCGAACGGGUGAGUAACACGUGAGUAACCUGCCCAUCACUCUGGGAUAAGCACUGGAAACGGUGUCUAAUACUGGAUACGACCAACCCUUGCAUGGGGUGUUGGUGGAAAGAUUUCUCGGUGAUGGAUGGACUCGCGGCCUAUCAGCUUGUUGGCGGGGUAAUGGCCCACCAAGGCGACGACGGGUAGCCGGCCUGAGAGGGUGACCGGCCACACUGGGACUGAGACACGGCCCAGACUCCUACGGGAGGCAGCAGUGGGGAAUAUUGCACAAUGGGCGAAAGCCUGAUGCAGCGACGCCGCGUGAGGGAUGACGGCCUUCGGGUUGUAAACCUCUUUCAGCAGGGAAGAAGCGAAAGUGACGGUACCUGCAGAAGAAGCACCGGCUAACUACGUG
rnacentral:rRNA from 1 species